CGUUCAAUGGCAGCGGUAGGUCCAGCUUAUUCUUCGUGGCUACGGUCUAUUUGGGCUUCUUGAUGACUCCUUGACGGCUCCCGCACGUUUUAUUCAAUCCUAUGAUGGAUGUCUUGUUGUUAAUCCAGCUGUUUCAGUCUUUGAUCAGCAAGGCAGUUUGCUUACUCUUGGCUGUUAUCCACGGUCAGCUCUUCCUUCUUGUCAUCUUUCACGGAUGUUCGCACUGCUCAUGACGUCUGGCUCGUGGCAAACAACUUG
rnacentral:lncRNA from 1 species